CUUGUAUCAAAAAAAUAAAAUAAUAAAAUCAGCGAUUAAAGCAAAUAACUAGGAGUAAGUUGAAGCUAGAGAGUUAAAUCAGACUUUCCCUUGGUUUCAGGAUGACAAAUUUUAAGGACUCUACUGGUCAUUGCUGGCUUGGAAGAGAAAGGAAGUAACCAUGACCCUUAGAAGGCAGCCUGGAAAAGGUCAAAAACCCUAGGAAACAGAUACCUCCCUACAGCCUCCAGAAAGAAAUGAAACCCUGUCAACAUCUUGUUUCUAACCCAAUGAGUCCUAUAUCAGAAUUCUGGUGUCCAGAGCUGUAAAAUUAAAAAAUUGUGCUAUUUUAAAACACCCAGCAUGUGGUACUUAAUGUAUUGUAGAAACAAUAGGAAACUGAUACAGAGGACUAGAAGAAAGGAGAAGCCAGGACAUUCCUCCCCACCUCAGCCCCUACUUCAAGCUGCAUCUCUGGCAUCCACCACAUGUCCCCUGUGACUUACACUCCUAUCAGAGGGGACUGUGAGGUUGGCUUAAGCUAGCUGACCCUGGCUCCUGGGCUCUGAGAACACCAUAUUUUUCUUUUUCUUCCAGUAUAGAGGUGAAGAGGCUACCUACUGUUGGACUUACUAUAUGGCCUUUUCUUGGAUUUUCAGCACUUCUAUCACUGAGCUACUUCCCCAGAUCUUUUUAAUGAUUUUUGAGUUUUAUGUUACAGUGAAAGGGCUUUGCGG
rnacentral:lncRNA from 1 species